UACGGAGGGUGCGAGCGUUGUCCGGAAUCACUGGGCGUAAAGGGCGCGUAGGCGGCCUGAUAAGUAGGGGGUGAAAUCCUGCGGCUUAACCGCAGGGCUGCCUUCUAAACUGUCAGGCUGGAGCACAGUAGAGGCAGGUGGAAUUCCCGGUGUAGCGGUGGAAUGCGUAGAGAUCGGGAGGAACACCAGAGGCGAAGGCGGCGACCUGGACAGGUACUGACACUCAACUACGAAAGCGUGGGGAGCAAACAGG
rnacentral:rRNA from 1 species